GGUGCUGCAUGGCUGUCGUCAGCUCGUGUCGUCGAGAUGUUGGGUUAAGUCCCGUAACGAGCGCAACCCCUGUCCUUAGUUACCAGCACGUUAUGGUGGGCACUCUAAGGAGACUGCCGGUGACAAACCGGAGGAAGGUGGGGAUGACGUCAAGUCAUCAUGGCCCUUACGGCCUGGGCUACACACGUGCUACAAUGGUCGGUACAAAGGGUUGCCAAGCCGCGAGGUGGAGCUAAUCCCAUAAAACCGAUCGUAGUCCGGAUCGCAGUCUGCAACUCGACUGCGUGAAGUCGGAAUCGCUAGUAAUCGUGAAUCAGAAUGUCACGGUGAAUACGUUCCCGGGCCUU
rnacentral:rRNA from 1 species